rnacentral:rRNA from 1 species
UCAACCGAGAUUCCGCAAGUAGUGGCGAGCGAACGCGGAAAAGCCUGUAUAUGAUAAUGGUUAAGAUAGAAGAAGGGAUUGGAAACUUCCGCCAUAGUGGGUGAUAGCCCCGUAUUUGAAAUCUUAACCAUGGUACUAAGUAUACGAGAAGUAGGGCGGGACACGUGAAAUCCUGUCUGAAUAUGGGGGGACCAUCCUCUAAGGCUAAAUACUCAUCAUCGACCGAUAGUGAACCAGUACCGUGAGGGAAAGGCGAAAAGAACCCCGGAAGGGGAGUGAAAUAGAACCUGAAACCUGAUGCAUACAUACAGUGGGAGCAUCUUUGUGGUGUGACUGCGUACCUUUUGUAUAAUGGGUCAACGACUUACAUUCAGUAGCGAGCUUAACCGAGUAGGGGAGGCGUAGGGAAACCGAGUCUUAAUAGGGCGACUAGUUGCUGGGUGUAGACCCGAAACCGAGUGAUCUAUCCAUGGCCAGGAUGAAGGUGCGGUAAAACGCAUUGGAGGUCCGAACCCACGCAUGUUGCAAAAUGCGGGGAUGAGCUGUGGAUAGGGGUGAAAGGCUAAACAAACUCGGAGAUAGCUGGUUCUCCCCGAAAACUAUUUAGGUAGUGCCUCGAGUAUGAGACUGAUGGGGGUAAAGCACUGUUAUGGCUAGGGGGUUAUUGCAACUUACCAACCCAUGGCAAACUAAGAAUACCAUCAAGUUGCUCCUCGGGAGACAGACAUCGGGUGCUAACGUCCGGUGUCAAGAGGGAAACAACCCAGACCGCCAGCUAAGGUCCCAAAUGAUAGAUUAAGUGGUAAACGAAGUGGGAAGGCACAGACAGCCAGGAUGUUGGCUUAGAAGCAGCCAUCAUUUAAAGAAAGCGUAAUAGCUCACUGGUCGAGUCUUCCUGCGCGGAAGAUGUAACGGGGCUCAAAUCUAUAACCGAAGCUGCGGAUAUACUUUUGUAUAUGGUAGGGGAGCGUUCUGUAAGCCUGUGAAGGUGACUUGUAAAGGUUGCUGGAGGUAUCAGAAGUGCGAAUGUUGACAUGAGUAGCGAUAAAGUGGGUGAAAAGCCCGCUCGCCGAAAGCCCAAGGUUUCCUACGCAACGUUCAUCGGCGUAGGGUGAGUCGGCCCCUAAGGCGAGGCAGAAAUGCGUAGUCGAUGGGAAACAGGUUAAUAUUCCUGUACUUUGAUUCAAUGCGAUGUGGGGACGGAGAAGGUUAGGUUAGCAAACUGUUGGAAUAGUUUGUUUAAGCUAGUAGGUGGAAAGAGUAGGCAAAUCCGCUCUUUCUUAACACCGAGACGUGAUGACGAGUGUCUACGGACAUGAAGUGACCAAUACCACGCUUCCAGGAAAAGCCACUAAGCUUCAGUUGAAUCAGAACCGUACCGCAAACCGACACAGGUGGGCAGGAUGAGAAUUCUAAGGCGCUUGAGAGAACUCGGGAGAAGGAACUCGGCAAAUUGAUACCGUAACUUCGGGAGAAGGUAUGCCCUCUAAUGUUAAGGACUUGCUCCGUAAGCAUCUGAGGGUCGCAGAGAAUCGGUGGCUGCGACUGUUUAUUAAAAACACAGCACUCUGCUAACACGAAAGUGGACGUAUAGGGUGUGACGCCUGCCCGGUGCUGGAAGGUUAAUUGAAGAUGUGCAAGCAUCGGAUCGAAGCCCCAGUAAACGGCGGCCGUAACUAUAACGGUCCUAAGGUAGCGAAAUUCCUUGUCGGGUAAGUUCCGACCCGCACGAAUGGCGUAACGAUGGCCACACUGUCUCCUCCCGAGACUCAGCGAAGUUGAAAUGGUUGUGAAGAUGCAAUCUCCCCGCUGCUAGACGGAAAGACCCCGUGAACCUUUACUGUAGCUUUGCAUUGGACUUUGAAGUCACUUGUGUAGGAUAGGUGGGAGGCUUUGAAGCAGAGACGCCAGUCUCUGUGGAGCCGUCCUUGAAAUACCACCCUGGUGACUUUGAGGUUCUAACCCAGACCCGUUAUCCGGGUCGGGGACCGUGCAUGGUAGGCAGUUUGACUGGGGCGGUCUCCUCCCAAAGAGUAACGGAGGAGUUCGAAGGUUACCUAGGUCCGGUCGGAAAUCGGACUGAUAGUGCAAUGGCAAAAGGUAGCUUAACUGCGAGACCGACAAGUCGAGCAGGUGCGAAAGCAGGACAUAGUGAUCCGGUGGUUCUGAAUGGAAGGGCCAUCGCUCAACGGAUAAAAGGUACUCCGGGGAUAACAGGCUGAUUCCGCCCAAGAGUCCAUAUCGACGGCGGAGUUUGGCACCUCGAUGUCGGCUCAUCACAUCCUGGGGCUGUAGUCGGUCCCAAGGGUAUGGCUGUUCGCCAUUUAAAGUGGUACGUGAGCUGGGUUUAAAACGUCGUGAGACAGUUUGGUCCCUAUCUGCAGUGGGCGUUGGAAGUUUGACGGGGGCUGCUCCUAGUACGAGAGGACCGGAGUGGACGAACCUCUGGUGUACCGGUUGUUUCGCCAGAAGCAUAGCCGGGUAGCUAAGUUCGGAAGAGAUAAGCGCUGAAAGCAUCUAAGCGCGAAACUCGCCCAAAGAUGAGACUUCCCUUGUGGUUUAACCAUACUAAAGAGUCGUUCGAGACCAGGACGUUGAUAGGUUGGGUGUGGAAGAGUGGUAACACUUGAAGCUAACCAAUACUAAUUGCUCGUGAGGCUUGACUCU